rnacentral:misc_RNA from 1 species
GUUUUUCUAUAUAAUUUAUUAAGAAAAUAAAUUUUAUGUUUUUACUAGGCAAAUAGAACUAAAAUGUUCCAUGCCCUGCACCCUCAGGCUUGCCUUGGUGUUCGGUGCAUCUCCAGCCUAGGAUAAGAUUCUAGGCUGAAGUAUUUAUACUACUUGUAGAUCCUAAAAAGUACUCCCUCCGUACUUAAAUAUUUUUUUACUAGUACGGUAAGAAGAUUGAAAGGUUGAAUUGAGGGCGUGUGUGCGAGACUGAAAUUGAUGUUAUAUGGGAAGUUUAGUGCUUAGUAUUUAGUGAUGUGCGCGUCAUAUUGCCAUAAAUACAUCCCCAGUGGCAGUUGUUGUACUUUGCGGGCAAUUAUGAUCCACAUCUCCAGCCUAGGAUAAGAUUCUAGGCUGAAAUAUUUAUAAAGCAUACACAUUAGAUUAUCCAAAGUUACACACUGAAAAAAUCCACAUCAAUACAUGGAUCAUAAUUGCCC